rnacentral:rRNA from 1 species
GUGCACCAGUCGCGAAACUUUACAAUGUGCGAAAGCACGAUAAGGGAACUCUGAGUGCCUCCUAAGGAGGCUGUUCAGGUGUCUAAAAGCACCUGAAGGAAGGGCUGGGUAAGACCGGUGCCAGCCGCCGCGGUAACACCGGCAGCCCAAGUGGUAGCCACGUUUAUUGGGUCUAAAGCGUCCGUAGCCGGCUGGGUAAGUUCCUUGGGAAAUCUGGCUGCUUAACAGUCAAGCUUUCAGGGAAUACUGCCCGGCUUGGGACCGGGAGAGGUCAGAGGUACUCCAGGGGUAGGGGUGAAAUCCAUUAAUCCUUGGGGGACCACCGGUAGCGAAGGCGUCUGACCAGACCGGGUCCGACGGUGAGGGACGAAGGCUAGGGGCGCGAACCGGAUUAGAUACCCGUGUAGU